rnacentral:lncRNA from 11 species
UGUGGAUGGUGGCCAAAAAUGAAAAACAAAGGAGCACGGAGAAGGAAUGGCCCAGUGGAAGACAAAGAGAAGCCAAGCAACAGAGGUUUAAUCCUAGCUCUUCGGGCACAAUAACAUCAAGGAUGAGAAAUGUGAUACUUUGUUCUCGGA